GAUGAACGCUGGCGGCGUGCCUAAUACAUGCAAGUCGAGCGAACAGACGAGGAGCUUGCUCCUCUGACGUUAGCGGCGGACGGGUGAGUAACACGUGGAUAACCUACCUAUAAGACUGGGAUAACUUCGGGAAACCGGAGCUAAUACCGGAUAAUAUAUUUAACCGCAUGGUUCAAUAGUGAAAGACGGUUUUGCUGUCACUUAUAGAUGGAUCCGCGCCGCAUUAGCUAGUUGGUAAGGUAACGGCUUACCAAGGCAACGAUGCGUAGCCGACCUGAGAGGGUGAACGGCCACACUGGAACUGAGACACGGUCCAGACUCCUAAGGGAGGCAGCAGUAGGGAAUCUUCCGAAAUGGGCGAAAGCCUGACGGAGCAACGCCGCGUGAGUGAUGAAGGUCUUCGGAUCGUAAAACUCUGUUAUUAGGGAAGAACAAAUGUGUAAGUAACUAUGCACGUCUUGACGGUACCUAAUCAGAAAGCCACGGCUAACUACGUG
rnacentral:rRNA from 1 species